UUUGGUUAAGUUAGAAAGGGCGCACGGUGGAUGCCUUGACACUAGGAGUCGAUGAAGGACGGGACUAACGCCGAUAUGCUUCGGGGAGCUGUAAGUAAGCUUUGAUCCGAAGAUUUCCGAAUGGGGAAACCCACCAUACGUAAUGGUAUGGUAUCCUUAUCUGAAUACAUAGGGUAAGGAAGACAGACCCAGGGAACUGAAACAUCUAAGUACCUGGAGGAAGAGAAAGCAAAUGCGAUUUCCUGAGUAGCGGCGAGCGAAACGGAACAUAGCCCAAACCAAGAGGCUUGCCUCUUGGGGUUGUAGGACAUUCUAUACGGAGUUACAAAGGAACGAGGUAGACGAAGCGACCUGGAAAGGUCCGUCGUAGAGGGUAACAACCCCGUAGUCGAAACUUCGUUCUCUCUUGAAUGUAUCCUGAGUACGGCGGAACACGUGAAAUUCCGUCGGAAUCUGGGAGGACCAUCUCCCAAGGCUAAAUACUCCCUAGUGAUCGAUAGUGAACCAGUACCGUGAGGGAAAGGUGAAAAGCACCCCGGAAGGGGAGUGAAAGAGAUCCUGAAACCGUGUGCCUACAAAUAGUCAGAGCCCGUUAACGGGUGAUGGCGUGCCUUUUGUAGAAUGAACCGGCGAGUUACGAUCCCGUGCGAGGUUAAGCUGAAGAGGCGGAGCCGCAGCGAAAGCGAGUCUGAAUAGGGCGUUUAGUACGUGGUCGUAGACCCGAAACCAGGUGAUCUACCCAUGUCCAGGGUGAAGUUCAGGUAACACUGAAUGGAGGCCCGAACCCACGCACGUUGAAAAGUGCGGGGAUGAGGUGUGGGUAGCGGAGAAAUUCCAAUCGAACCUGGAGAUAGCUGGUUCUCCCCGAAAUAGCUUUAGGGCUAGCCUUAAGUGUAAGAGUCUUGGAGGUAGAGCACUGAUUGGACUAGGGGUCCUCAUCGGAUUACCGAAUUCAGUCAAACUCCGAAUGCCAAUGACUUAUCCUUAGGAGUCAGACUGCGAGUGAUAAGAUCCGUAGUCAAAAGGGAAACAGCCCAGACCGCCAGCUAAGGUCCCAAAGUGUGUAUUAAGUGGAAAAGGAUGUGGAGUUGCUUAGACAACUAGGAUGUUGGCUUAGAAGCAGCCACCAUUUAAAGAGUGCGUAAUAGCUCACUAGUCGAGUGACUCUGCGCCGAAAAUGUACCGGGGCUAAAUACACCACCGAAGCUGCGGAUUGAUACCAAUGGUAUCAGUGGUAGGGGAGCGUUCUAAGGACAGUGAAGUCAGACCGUAAGGACUGGUGGAGUGCUUAGAAGUGAGAAUGCCGGUAUGAGUAGCGAAAGACGGGUGAGAAUCCCGUCCACCGAAUGCCUAAGGUUUCCUGAGGAAGGCUCGUCCGCUCAGGGUUAGUCAGGACCUAAGCCGAGGCCGACAGGCGUAGGCGAUGGACAACAGGUUGAUAUUCCUGUACCACCUCUUUAUCGUUUGAGCAAUGGAGGGACGCAGAAGGAUAGAAGAAGCGUGCGAUUGGUUGUGCACGUCCAAGCAGUUAGGCUGAUAAGUAGGCAAAUCCGCUUAUCGUGAAGGCUGAGCUGUGAUGGGGAAGCUCCUUAUGGAGCGAAGUCUUUGAUUCCCCGCUGCCAAGAAAAGCUUCUAGCGAGAUAAAAGGUGCCUGUACCGCAAACCGACACAGGUAGGCGAGGAGAGAAUCCUAAGGUGUGCGAGAGAACUCUGGUUAAGGAACUCGGCAAAAUGACCCCGUAACUUCGGGAGAAGGGGUGCUUUCUUAACGGAAAGCCGCAGUGAAUAGGCCCAAGCGACUGUUUAGCAAAAACACAGCUCUCUGCGAAGCCGUAAGGCGAAGUAUAGGGGGUGACACCUGCCCGGUGCUGGAAGGUUAAGGAGAGGGGUUAGCGUAAGCGAAGCUCUGAACUGAAGCCCCAGUAAACGGCGGCCGUAACUAUAACGGUCCUAAGGUAGCGAAAUUCCUUGUCGGGUAAGUUCCGACCCGCACGAAAGGUGUAACGAUUUGGGCACUGUCUCAACCAGAGACUCGGUGAAAUUAUAGUACCUGUGAAGAUGCAGGUUACCCGCGACAGGACGGAAAGACCCCGUGGAGCUUUACUGUAGCCUGAUAUUGAAUUUUGGUACAGUUUGUACAGGAUAGGCGGGAGCCAUUGAAACCGGAGCGCUAGCUUCGGUGGAGGCGCUGGUGGGAUACCGCCCUGACUGUAUUGAAAUUCUAACCUACGGGUCUUAUCGACCCGGGAGACAGUGUCAGGUGGGCAGUUUGACUGGGGCGGUCGCCUCCUAAAGUGUAACGGAGGCGCCCAAAGGUUCCCUCAGAAUGGUUGGAAAUCAUUCGUAGAGUGCAAAGGCAUAAGGGAGCUUGACUGCGAGACCUACAAGUCGAGCAGGGACGAAAGUCGGGCUUAGUGAUCCGGUGGUUCCGCAUGGAAGGGCCAUCGCUCAACGGAUAAAAGCUACCCCGGGGAUAACAGGCUUAUCUCCCCCAAGAGUCCACAUCGACGGGGAGGUUUGGCACCUCGAUGUCGGCUCAUCGCAUCCUGGGGCUGUAGUCGGUCCCAAGGGUUGGGCUGUUCGCCCAUUAAAGCGGUACGCGAGCUGGGUUCAGAACGUCGUGAGACAGUUCGGUCCCUAUCCGUCGUGGGCGUAGGAAAUUUGAGAGGAGCUGUCCUUAGUACGAGAGGACCGGGAUGGACGCACCGCUGGUGUACCAGUUGUUCUGCCAAGGGCAUAGCUGGGUAGCUAUGUGCGGAAGGGAUAAGUGCUGAAAGCAUCUAAGCAUGAAGCCCCCCUCAAGAUGAGAUUUCCCAUAGCGUAAGCUAGUAAGAUCCCUGAAAGAUGAUCAGGUUGAUAGGUUCGAGGUGGAAGCAUGGUGACAUGUGGAGCUGACGAAUACUAAUAGAUCGAGGACUUAACCUUAUAA
rnacentral:rRNA from 1 species